GGUGGAGGCAGAACCGCUCGUGGCCACUAGGCUCUGGUCCCCGCACUCCUGCGCCGUCCGGAAACCCCGCGGCGGGGGGAGGGGAUUGGAGUCCCGGCCGCACCCCCGGCCCGGUCCCGGACUCGCAUUAACAGCUUGUUGGGGCGCGUUUUCCCGCUCCCGGCUGGCGCCUGCUCCGCUGCGGCGUCUCCUGAGGCGCGAACGGGAGAGCUGGCUACGGCCGGCCCGGCGCUCGGGGAGAGCGGGAAAGCUGCCCCCUCCUCCGCGCUUGGGGGGACCUUUGUGCCCAGCUCGGGGGGAGGCUCAGCUUCCGCCUCCCCUGACCUGGGGGCUCAGCUCCCACCGUCUCCCCCUUUCCCCCUGCUCGGGGGGGGGCUCAGCCCCCGCCGUCUCCUCCUGCUCCAACGUCUCCUCCCCCUCCCCCCUGUUGGGGGGGGGCUCAGCCCCCACUGUCUCUUCCCCCCUUCCUCCUGUUCUGGGGAGGGUCAGCCCCCACUGUCUUUCCCCCUUCCCCCUGCUCUGGGGGGGCUCAGCCCCCACUGUCUCUUCCCCCUCUUCCUCCUGCUCUGGGGGGUGGGCUCAGCCUCCACUGUCUUUUCCCCCUUUUCCCUGCUCUGGGGGGGCUCAGCCCCUACUGUCUUUUCCCCCCUUCCUCCUGCUCUGGGGGGGGCUCAGCCCCCACCAUCUCUUCCCCUCUCCCUAUGCUCUGGGGACUCUCCCCAUGCUGUGCAGAGGGUUGAACUGCGGUGUGCUCUCUCUUCCCCUGCAAGGCUGAGCCCCCCCAUGCCCACCCGAGUGUGCCCUAUUAGAAGGAGGUGCCUCUCUGAAACCCACAUACCAGUGGGGCAUGGCUCCUCCAUGGAGAAACAGCUGUCCGAGAGCCUGGAUCUGCUGGGAUCUUUUGCCAGCAGUGUGCGCUGGAGCACAGCACAGUGGCACCAUCACUGAAACUGUCAGCUGACAUCCUUUGGCACCAUUACUUUUAGAGGAAGGGUCUGACUCACUGCCCGAGGUGUUUUGAGGAUGUUUCAAGGUGUGUCAGCUGCGCUUCACAUCAGUGCACCUUGAUGUAUCUCUUUGGCACGGAUUGAAAGUGGCCAAAAGAAAAAAGUGAAGGAAUAAGGAAAAAAGAAGGGGGAAAAGUAAAA